rnacentral:rRNA from 1 species
UACGUAGGGUGCAGGCGUUAAUCGGAAUUACUGGGCGUAAAGCGUGCGCAGGCGGUUUGCUAAGACAGGUGUGAAAUCCCCGGGCUUAACCUGGGAACUGCGCUUGUUACUGGCAGGCUUGAGUGUGGCAGAGGGGGGUGGAAUUCCACGUGUAGCAGUGAAAUGCGUAGAGAUGUGGAGGAACACCGAUGGCGAAGGACAGCCCC